rnacentral:rRNA from 1 species
UACGGGGGGGGCAAGCGUUGUUCGGAAUUACUGGGCGUAAAGGGUCUGUAGGUGGCUUGCUAAGUCAGACGUGAAAUCCCUCGGCUUAACCGGGGAACUGCGUCUGAUACUGGCGAGCUUGAGUGCAGGAGAGGAACGCGGAAUUCCAGGUGUAGCGGUGAAAUGCGUAGAUAUCUGGAGGAACACCGGUGGCGAAGGCGGCGUUCUGGACUGCAACUGACACUGAGAGACGAAAGCCAGGGGAGCAAACGGG